UACGGAGGGUGCAAGCGUUAAUCGGAAUUAUUGGGCGUAAAGAGCUCGUAGGCGGUUUGUCGCGUCUGCUGUGAAAACUCGGGGCUUAACCCCGGGCCUGCAGUGGGUACGGGCAGACUAGAGUGCGGUAGGGGAGACUGGAAUUCCUGGUGUAGCGGUGAAAUGCGCAGAUAUCAGGAGGAACACCGGUGGCGAAGGCGGGUCUCUGGGCCGUAACUGACGCUGAGGAGCGAAAGCGUGGGGAGCGAACAGG
rnacentral:rRNA from 1 species